CCUUCAAUAGCUCAGCUGGUAGAGCAGAGGACCAUAACAUGGAUACCACGUCAUGAUGACCUUAGAUAGAGGAUUGGGUUGGCGUCGUAUCCGUGGCUAUCCUUAGUCGCUGGUUCAACUCCAGCUUGAAGGG
rnacentral:tRNA from 1 species